GAUGAACGCUGGCGGCGUGCCUAAUACAUGCAAGUCGAGCGAACAGACGAGGAGCUUGCUCCUCUGACGUUAGCGGCGGACGGGUGAGUAACACGUGGAUAACCUACCUAUAAGACUGGGAUAACUUCGGGAAACCGGAGCUAAUACCGGAUAAUAUAUUGAACCGCAUGGUUCAAUAGUGAAAGACGGUUUUGCUGUCACUUAUAGAUGGAUCCGCGCCGCAUUAGCUAGUUGGUAAGGUAACGGCUUACCAAGGCAACGAUGCGUAGCCGACCUGAGAGGGUGAUCGGCCACACGGGAACUGAGACACGGUCCAGACGCCUACGGGAGGCAGCAGUAGGGAAUCUUCCGCAAUGGGCGAAAGCCUGACGGAGCAACGCCGCGUGAGUGAUGAAGGUCUUCGGAUCGUAAAACUCUGUUAUUAGGGAAGAACAAAUGUGUAAGUAACUAUGCACGUCUUGACGGUAACUAAUCAGAAAGCCACGGCUAACUACGUG
rnacentral:rRNA from 1 species